rnacentral:rRNA from 1 species
UCUAGCCCUAACCUCUAUCAACUUAACAAUCACAGCCUACUCAACUAAAACAUUCACAAAGUAAGUCAAGUAUUGGAGAAAGAAACAUUAUUUAGGAGCUAUAGAGAGAGUACCGUAAGGGAAAGAUGAAAGAAAAUUUAAAAGUGAAAAAAAGCAAAGAUUAAACCUUUUACCUUUUGCAUAAUGAGCUAACUAGAAUACCCCUAACUAAGAGAACUAUAGCUAGGAACCCCGAAACCAAGCGAGCUACCUAAGAGCAAUUUAAAGAAUGCACCCAUCUAUGUAGCAAAAUAGUGGGAAGACUUUUAGGUAGAGGUGAAAAGCCUAUCGAGCUUGGUGAUAGCUGGUUACCCAAUAAAGAACCUUAGUUCUACUUUAAUCUUACCUCAAGAAAUUAUAGUCCUAAUGCAAGAUUAAAAUAUAGCCUAAAGAGGGACAGCCCUUUAGGAACGGAUACAACCCUUUAGCAGAGAGUAAGGCAUUUUUCCCCGGGACCAUAGUUGGCCUAAAAGCAGCCACCAAUAAAGAAAGCGUUCAAGCUCAACACCCACAGCAACUCUAAUUUCUCUAGUCUUACCUACCUCCUGCAAUCAUAAUUGGGUUAAUCUAUUACUAUAUAGAUGAGAUACUGUUAGUAUGAGUAACAAGAAUAACAUUCUCCCAGCACAGGCCUAUAACAACCCGGAUGACCAUUGUUAGUUAACACCCACACAAGUGCAUUAACCCCCUAUAAACUCACUUGCCACCUAAUGUUAGUCCAACACAGGAGUGCUUAAGGGAAAGAUUAAAAGAAAUAAAAGGAACUCGGCAAACAUGAAUCCCGCCUGUUUACCAAAAACAUAACCUCUAGCAUGAUAAGUAUUAGAGGCAACGCCUGCCCAGUGACAAGACUGUUCAACGGCCGCGGUAUCCUGACCGUGCAAAGGUAGCAUAAUCACUUGUUCUUUAAUUAAGGACUAGAAUGAAUGGCUAAACGAGGGUUCAACUGUCUCUUAUUUCUAAUCAGUGAAAUUGACCUUCCCGUGAAGAGGCGGGGAUAAUCCAGCAAGACGAGAAGACCCUAUGGAGCUUUAAUCUCAUCUCCUAGCUUAACUAACAAAUCAACCUACUGGCCUAAAACACACAAGCAUAGGACAUAGAUUUUGGUUGGGGUGACCUCGGAGUAUAGAUUACCCUCCGAAUGAUUUUAGCCAAGGCCUACAAGCCAAAGCAUUUACUAUCUUAUUGAUCCAAGCACACUUGAUCAACGGACCAAGUUACCCUAGGGAUAACAGCGCAAUCCUAUUUGAGAGUCCAUAUCGACAAUUAGGGUUUACGACCUCGAUGUUGGAUCAGGACAUCCCAAUGGUGUAGAAGCUAUUAAAGGUUCGUUUGUUCAACGAUUAAAGUCCUACGUGAUCUGAGUUCAGACCGGAGUAAUCCAGGUCGGUUUCUAUCUGUUUACAAUUUCUCCCAGUACGAAAGGACAAGAGAAAUGGAGCCACCUCAUCAAGAGCGCUCCCGAGUAACUCAUGAGUACAUCUUAAUGAGGCUCCCCUGUACCAACUCAACCCUAGAUAAGGGUU